UAUUUAGGCUAGGGAUUUAUUUUAGGCUAGAAACGAAAUUCAACUGAAAUGUAGUUGCCUCAUCAAAACCUAUUGAUUGCUAUAAAAAAAGUUAUCCAGGCCCACAGAUUCUUCGUCCUAGCAAUGACGUCAUAGCAACCCUUUAGUUCUGCAGUAGUCUCGCCGUGUAAUGUCAGACGCCAAAAACUUUUUUUCUGCCAAAAACUGUAUGCCGCUGUCGAUGUUAGCAAAGAAACCGGCGCAGCGUAAAAGAGUUUUGAAAUAAGCGCUCGUGGAGGAGAAACAGAUCGUCGGAGAUUUCUUUUUUUCUGUGUCUUAUAAUCUGCCUGCCCGCUACUCUCAGAGAGACAACCUUCGGCCGGUCUAUUUUUUUGCGUCUCUCCGAUAGGUUCAGAAAGAAACCAAAAGAAGAAAAAAGCCUGAAACAUUCUGUUUCAGUUAUGAAACGAAAAACCGCAGGCUGUUUAAAUUGUGCCCUGCAACACAUUUUAAUUUAUUAAUAAAAGGGCUUUUUAUUAAAAAUUUCCGAAGUGAUUUCACUUGGGAAGUGUCACUUGCAUGUGACAGGCCAUACAACUAAAAGGAACAAGUAAAAUCCGGAAAUGAAAGGAGACUUACAAGUCGACAUCGUCGUCGCUCGCACUCAAAUCCCGUUUAAUGUGCUGAUAGUAAAAAGUAUUUCUGAAAAUUUACAGAAAACGAACUGUUUAUUUUUGGUGGCAGUGCCGCUAGCUCAGUCUGCCUCAGGGCAGAGUACCCCUAUUGCCACAGCUCGAAACAUAAAAAAAAAUAGACAAAUCCGCGGUCUCGCAUCACUGAAACUAUCGGACAUCUCUAAGAACAAAACGUAAACAAAGCGCUCCCUCCCUACGAAAGGUACCCUCUAUAUGCUGCUGGGCACCACCCAAACUUGGUCGGACGGCGCCCCUCCUCGCGACUACGGCGGCUCCAUCUCCCCCACUGGGACAAUUUACUCACACAUGGUGGAUUUUACAAACAUUUAAUAUUUGACAAAGACUUGGCCACCGUCUUCAGGACUUAAUCGGUCAAAGCCGAGGAU